GAUGAACGCUAGCUACAGGCUUAACACAUGCAAGUCGAGGGGAAACGGCAUCGAAAGCUUGCUUUUGAUGGGCGUCGACCGGCGCACGGGUGAGUAACGCGUAUCCAACCUGCCCAUCACUUGGGAAUAACCUUGCGAAAGUAAGACUAAUGCCCAAUGACAUCCCACGAAGGCAUCCGAAUGGGAUUAAAGAUUUAUCGGUGAUGGAUGGGGAUGCGUCUGAUUAGCUUGUUGGCGGGGUGACGGCCCACCAAGGCAACGAUCAGUAGGGGUUCUGAGAGGAAGGUCCCCCACAUUGGAACUGAGACACUGUCCAAACUCCUACGGGAGGCAGCAGUGAGGAAUAUUGGUCAAUGGGCGAGAGCCUGAACCAGCCAAGUAGCGUGCAGGAGGACGGCCCUAUGGGUUGUAAACUGCUUUUAUAAGGGAAUAAAGUGGGUCACGUGUGACUUUUUGCAUGUACCUUAUGAAUAAGGACCGGCUAAUUCCGUG
rnacentral:rRNA from 1 species